rnacentral:rRNA from 1 species
AUUGAACGCUGGCGGCAGGCCUAAAACAUGCAAGCCGAACGCCCUAGCAAUAGGGAGUGGCGCACGGGUGAGUAACACGUGGGAAUAUGCCUUUUGGUACGGAACAACGUCUGGAAACGGACGCUAAUGCCGUAUGGUCCCUUCGGGGUAAAGAUUUAUCGCCAAAAGAUUAGCCCGCGUCUGAUUAGCUAGUUGGUGAGGUAAUGGCUCACCAAGGCGACGAUCAGUAGCUGGUCUGAGAGGACGAUCAGCCACACGGGGACUGAGACACGGCCCAGACUCCUACGGGAGGCAGCAGUUAGGAAUAUUGGACAAUGGACGCAAGUCUGAUCCAGCCAUGGCACGUGAGUGAUGAAGGCCUUCGGGUUGUAAAGCUCUUUAGUCCACGAUUAUAAUGACUGUAGUGGAAGAAUAAGCCCCGGCUAACUUCGUGCCAGCCGCCGCUGUAACAC